rnacentral:misc_RNA from 1 species
UACAGGAGGCGUUGAGGUAGCGUUGCGUUUAGCGCAUCGGCCGCCGCCGACGAAGAAACUGCAGAUACGUGAUUCCGCUGCCUCCACUGCUCAUGAUCUUGGUUUGAGCUGUAGUGAGGACUCUGUUGAAGUUGGAUCAUCAGAUUUAGACUCAGACAGCGAUGGUUCAUCUCCACAGCCCGGACCUUCAACCCCUGUGUCAAAGCUCCUCGUCCUUAGAGUCCCUUGAGGAAUGCAAGUCGCCAAUGCCUGUACAAGACGGACUGCAUUCCUGCUGGCAGUGCACGCUCUUUGUCUUUCGAGUGUCUUAAGGAAGAGUCACUCACGGCUGUACAAGACGGACUGCAUUCGUGCCGGCUGUGCACUUAUGUGACCAAGGACAGGGCAAACAUGGAGACACACCUUCGCAUACACACGGGCGAGUUCCUCUUUGAGUGCCACCUUUGUCCAGCCACAUUCAGUGACAGCUUCUAUUUGAGAAAGCAUGUUGGCGCAACACAUGAUUAUGUGUUGCUAUAUUUUCUCCAGCCAGUAAAAAAUUGCAUGAUUUUGACUUGGAUAAAUUUUGGUUGUCCAACUUCUCGCAAUGUGCUAUGUUAGAGGCCAUGCUUGUUGGGGUAAAUUGUCUGCGCAAGCCUGUUGAGAAGGGUAGCUAACUGCAAUCAUGUUAGUUAAGUGAAGCUGUGGUGCGUUCCGUGCCCUAGCUAUCAAGGUGAACACUCGUGUAAUGGAAGCUAGAAUAGUUUGCCAUAGAGAAGGGGUCUCAAACACGUGGAAUAAAGAACUUGCGCAGCCCACAGACUUACACAAGAAGUUCUGUAGCCUGCAUGUUUGUUUCACUUUCUCAAUAAGUACGUCCAUGAGCUACACAAAGAUGAGAGGUCUCGGGCAUUUUUUUGAGUGUCGGUCUAUUAAAUCGCCAUGUGCCAACUACCAAAACUGAGAAAUUCAACAUUUCAGAAUCCGCGUCGAUAUCCGUCACCCUGAAAAUCGGUAUCAGUGUUUUUCAAAUGAUCUCUCUCCAAAAACCCUUGAAAUACACUCAAACCUCAUUAUAACAAUGUUGCAUUUUACACGAAAAUAAGCUCGUUAUAUCCGAAAAUAUUUUAUAAAGGUUCAUUUGUGACACUAUACCCAUUGCUGUACUAUUUUUCAUUUAUUUUUUAUCAUUACUAUUUUGUUAUAUCUUGGUUCGUUAUAUCGAGGUGAAGUGUAUCAGCCAGAUAUGACAUCUUUCCUGCCUCAGCUCAUGCUUUACUUUAUGAAGUGUGGCCCGUUCGCUCUAGUGAGUCUAAGACACAUGCGAUAGGGCAUUGUAUAUAUAGAUUGCUUUUUUUUAUGCAUCAAAAUUAUUUGUUCGUUUUGCUGUUUUAGCACACUUGUUAAAAAUAUGGAGACAAACAUGGCAAGAAACAUUCUUUUUUUCUGCCUUGUUUGACAAGCGUGCUAAACUAAUUAAAUGCUAACCAACAUGGCCAUACCCACACCCUGUGAAUUCUUCAUGUGCCUAGGUAAAUAGCGAACUUUUGUACUUUAGUGCCCUACGAGGUGAUGCAGAUAAAUAAUAAAUAAAUGCAGUAUAACCUGGAGCAAUAAAAUGGAGAGUGUUUUCUCAAAUCAGGCAAAAUUGUGACAAAGACCUAUUGAAUGCUAGUGGACACAUGUAUACUUUUCAUAGAAGUGCGGCAACCAUUCUUGCUUGCGUGGUGCUGCAAUCUACUUUUAUGUGGUGAGAGACUUGUAGUUUGCAUUGCCUUCCUGUUCACCAUGUUGUUUUGCAGGCUCUUUGUCUUUCGAGUGUCUUAAGGAAGAGUCACUCACGGCUGUACAAGACGGACUGCAUUCGUGCCGGCAGUGCACUUAUGUGACCAAGGACAGGGCAAAC